rnacentral:lncRNA from 1 species
GGGUGGGAGGGGUAGAGGAGUGAAAAAUUAUUUAAUGGGUACAAUAUACAUUAUUUGGGUGAGUAAAAGCCCAGACUUCACCACUACAAUAUAUUCACAUCACAAAACUGCUCUUGUAUCCCUUACAUUUAUACCAAAAAGCUACCUUUUACUGGUUAACUUUAGUACAUCCCCUGAGAGAAUUUGAGAUGCUUUGCAAGGGCUAAAAAUAGAGGCAUUCCUGUUUUACCAGUCAAUUUUGUUCAGUUUCCUGUCUGGUACCUGCAUAAGAAAAAUGAAUUUUUAAAAUAAUUGGUGAUUUUAAUGUAUUCAUCUUUUGCGUUAUAAAACUCUACUCUGGAAGAUACUCUUUAGACAUUCCAGAUAUUGGAAUUUUAUUACAGUAAAAUUUCCAAAAUAAUUUUGGAGACUAACAUGGACUUACUUUCUUCUUUCUUCCUCUUUUUUCUUUCUUUCUUUUUCUUUCUCUUUUUCUUUUCUUUCUUUUUCUUUCUUUCCUUCUUUCUUUCUCUCUCCCUCCUUCUUCUCUCCUUCUUUCCUCUCUCUCCUUCCUUCCUCUCUCUCCUUCUUUCCUCUCUCUGUCUCCUUCCUUCCCUCCUUCCUUCCUCUCUCUCCUUCUUCCCUCUCUCUGUCUCCUUCCUUCGUUCCUUCCUUCCUUCCUUCCUUCCUUCCUUUUUCUUUCUUUUCUUUCUUGACAGAGUCUCACUCUGUCACCCAGGUGGAAGUACAGUGGUGCACUCUCGGCUUGCUUCCCAGGCUCAAGUGAUUCUCAUGCCUCAGCCGCCCAACUACCUGGGACUACAGGCGUGCGCCACCAUGCCUGGAUAAUUUUUGUAUUUUUUAGUAGAGACGGGGUUUCACCAUGUUGGCCAGGCUGUUCUCGAACUCCUGACCUCAGGUGCUAGGAUUAUAGGCGUGAGCCACCACGCCCGGACUAACAUGGAGUUUUUUAACUUUUGUUUUUGCCAAGGAUCUUGCUCUGUCACCCAGGCUGGAGUACAGUAGCACCAUCACUGCUCACUGUAGCCUCGACCUGCUGGGCUCAAGUGAUCCUCCCAUCUCAGCCUCCUGAGUAGGGGACUACACACAGGCACCACCAUGAUCCGGUAUCACCAGUCUGUGGGUACAAAAGGAGAGUAACAUGAACGAUUCAAAUUCCACUGGCUCUUGUUCCCAUGGAUUCACAGAAGUUCAGCCCCAUUUCAAAACUUCACAUUUGCUUCUGGGAAGCCCAUUCUGGAAAGUUUCUCUGUGGCCCUCUCCAGAAGGCAGCGCGACUUCCACCCAGCAACACAAGUCUCUGCAGCACCUGCCCCAGCAGCGCCAGCUGAGCCCCGGAAGCUGGGAAGGCUUAAGCUGACUCUUCUGCUGCACAUAGCAAAAAAUGGUCAUUUCUGUAGUUGCAGCUCCAGAUCUACAAUAAUCAAUCUAUAUCCAUAUUUUAUGGGGUUUUUUUGAGACAAAGUCUUGCUCUGUUACUCAGGCUGGAGUGCAGUGGCAUUAUCAUCAUUCACUUGUAGCCUUGACCUCCCUGGCUCAGGUGAUCCUGUCACCUCAGCCUUCCAAGUAGCUGAGACCACAGGCAUGCACCACUAAGCCUGGCUAAUUUUUCAAUUUUUAUUUUUCGUAGAGACAGGGUCUCCCUGGGUUGCCCAAACUGGUCUUGAAUUCCUGGGCUCAAGCAAUCCUCCUGUCCCGGCACCCCGAAGUGUUGGGACUACAGGCAUGAGCCACUGUGCACAGCCCUUUUUGUUUUUGUUUUUGUUUUUUUUUAAAGGUAAUUUCCCAGUGGAAUCCUCGAGAUUUCUUCACGUUUUUGGAAAAAUGAGUUACAUUUUAGAUUGUUUUCCUUUUUGGAAUUUAAUGGUAUACAUUAUAUUACAUAGCUAUGUUGAGCUCUAUUUCUAUUACACUAAAAAGUAGGCUAAUUGUCUUAACUUUCAUCAGUAAUGACAUUAAAUGUGUGAAGAUUAUACUUGGAAUAAAGCACUUGGAUUCAUUCAUUUCUUCAGUAAAUAUUUAUUGAGCACUAGUAUGUUCCAACGAGUGUCUGUCUACAUUCUGGGGACAAGUGAUAACUAAAUCCCUGUCCUCGUGGAGAGUUAACAAUCAACAAACUAACAAACAUUUAAUUUAUGUCAUCAACUCAUUUCCACAAAUAUAACAACAUCUUGACUUCAAGUUUCCUGAGUUUCUGGUCUAAAGAAUUGCUACCUUCAAGAGCUCAAAUCAUUUGUUGGGGAGAGAGGCCUGUGAUAUAUUUUCUCCUUUACAAUGAAAGUAGCUGUAAAAAGAGGAAGAGAAAUUCUGAGGGUAAAGAUAAAAAAUGUUGAAAUCUUCUUUCUGGAUUUCAGAUUGAGUCUCUUGCCCUAAUUGAUGCAAUUUACACUCCAUGCAUCUCCUUCCCUGGACCUUCUCCAGUUCUUGGGGACUACAGAUGAACUUACUUUUAAUGCAUUUUAUGGCAUUUGGAGGCCCUCCAGUGGACAAAUACUAUACCUGAAAAAAAUCCUUUUGCUGUGCUAAAGUGUUCAGGUGUGAAGUGUACUCAUGUUUGCAAAUCACUUUGAAAUAUAUAAACAAAAAUGAAUUAAUGGAUGAAUAGAGUGAUGCAUAGAUCAUUAGACAUGUGAUAAAAAUAACUGUUAAUUGUAGAAUCUAGAUGAUGAGUAUAUUAUAUGAUAUGGCCCACUGUAUAAUUCUUUCAACUUUUCUGUUUGAAUGUUUGAUAAUAAAAUAUUGAAUAAAAAUCUUUUUGCUAAAGAUUUAUGCCUUGUAGUUCACAUUAUUGAAAAUUUUGCUGAGAUAACGUAAAUUACCUUUCAAAAAUCAUCUUAAAAAUUGUCUUAAUAAACAUGGAUUAAUUUUUAUUUUUAUUUUUGAGACAAGGUCUUACUCUGUCACCCAGGCUGGAAUGCAGUGGCAUGAUCAUGGCUCACUGCAGCCUUGAGCUUCCAAGCUCAAGAGAUCCUCCCAUCUCAGCCUUCUGAGUAGCUGGGACUAGAGACUAAUUAAAAAAUUAACCCAGCUAAUUAAAAAACAUUUUUUUUUUUUGAGAUGGAGUCUCGUUCUGUUGCCCAGGCUGGAGUGGAGUGCAGUGGUGUGAUCUUGGCUCACUGCAACCUCUACCUCCUGCCUCAGCCUCCUAGUAGC